rnacentral:rRNA from 1 species
AGGUCACUGCUAUCGGGGUUCGAUUAAGCCAUGCGAGUCGAGAGGGUUCGGCCCUCGGCGUACUGCUCAGUAACACGUGGAUAACCUGCCCUAAGGAAGGGGAUAACCCCGGGAAACUGGGGAUAAUACCCUAUAGGUUACAGAUGCUGGAAUGCUCUGUAACUCAAAGUUCCGGCGCCUUAGGAUGGAUCUGCGGCCGAUUAGGUUGUUGUUGGGGUAAUGGCCCAACAAGCCAGUAAUCGGUACGGGUUGUGGGAGCAAGAGCCCGGAGUUGGAUUCUGAGACACGAAUCCAGGCCCUACGGGGCGCAGCAGGCGCGAAAACUUUACAAUGCGGGCAACCGUGAUAAGGGAACCUCGAGUGCCUGUAUAUGCAGGCUGUCCAGGUGUCUAAAACACACCUGAAGAAAGGGCCGGGCAAGACCGGUGCCAGCCGCCGCGGUAAUACCGGCGGCUCGAGUGGUGGCCACUUUUAUUGGGCUUAAAGCGUUCGUAGCUGGGUUAUUAAGUCUCUUGGGAAAUCCGGCGGCUCAACCGUCGGGCGUCUAAGGGAUACUGGUAAUCUUGGAACCGGGAGAGGUGAGGGUACUUCGGGGGUAGGAGUGAAAUCCUGUAAUCCUCGAGGGACCACCUGUGGCGAAGGCGCCUCACCAGAACGGCUUCGACAGUGAGGGACGAAAGCUGGGGGAGCAAACCGGAUUAGAUACCCGGGUAGUCCCAGCCGUAAACGAUGUGCGUUAGGUGUAUCGACGACCACGAGUCGUCGAGGUGCCGAAGGGAAACCGUGAAACGUACCGCCUGGGAAGUACGGUCGCAAGGCUGAAACUUAAAGGAAUUGGCGGGGGAGCACCACAACAGGUGGAGCCUGCGGUUUAAUUGGACUCAACGCCGGGAAUCUCACCGGAUAAGACAGCGGAAUGAUUGCCGGGCUGAAGACUCUGCAUGACUAGCUGAGAGGAGGUGCAUGGCCGUCGUCAGUUCGUACUGUGAAGCAUCCUGUUAAGUCAGGCAACGAGCGAGACCCACGCCAACAGUUGCCAGCACGAUCUCCGGAUCGGUGGGGACACUGUUGGGACCGCCUCUGCUAAAGGGGAGGAAGGAAUGGGCAACGGUAGGUCAGCAUGCCCCGAAUUAUCCGGGCUACACGCGGGCUACAAUGGGCAGGACAAUGGGUAUCGACAUCGAAAGGUGAAGGCAAUCUCCUAAACCUGUCCGUAGUUCGGAUUGUGGGCUGUAACUCGCCCACAUGAAGCUGGAAUCUGUAGUAAUCGCGUUUCAAAAUAACGCGGUGAAUGUGUCCCUGCUCCUUGCACACACCGCCCGUCAAACCACCCGAGUGGGGUUUGGAUGAGGCUGCGGUCGUUGCCGCAGUCGAAUCUAGGUUCCGCAAGGGGGGUUAAGUCGUAACAAGGUAGCCGUAGGGGAAUCUGC